rnacentral:lncRNA from 1 species
AAUGCUUCCCAAUCUCACUCAUGAGAAAAAUGGGAUGCUUAAGUCAACCAGGAAGCAAGCUCAAGAAGAGGCAUCUCAUUUAAGGCCAAAAGGUAGUUCCCAACACAGGUGGAAGAAUAGGAUGAAGGUGUAUAGUCAAGAAGGGUGCAGGAGAGACUGAGUUUUCCGUCUUCAUGAGACCGUCAUCCCAGUGGUUCCACAUUUCUCUGGUUUGGCAAGAACUCCCACUAUAUCAGGAAUACCCAUUCUUAAAUUGGAACAGUAACAUAAUUGUAUAUGUCAAAUAUAAAUUUCCAACUGCUCAUCUUUUGGAUUAUUUGCACCAUGGCUUCCUCUCCUUUCUCAGAAUUUCCAGUCCAGACAGGCCAGCCUCUGGCAUUCUUAGUCUUGUCUUUUCUUCUCCUUUUAUCUUUAUUCCCAAUCUUUCCCAAGGUAACUCUUAACUUUCUCCUGACUAUCUUACAAUUGUCCCUAAGACCUGAGAAUCGAUCCUGCUACUCACUCUGCCCCACUUUGCAACUGCACUUCAUUUUUAAUCCUCAAUCCAGACCAUGAUGGGUGGUAUCUAACCUCAAAAAUUAGCUCCAGUCCUAAGGCAAGUGUCCC